rnacentral:rRNA from 1 species
GACGAAGGUGGCGAGCGUUACUCGGAAUUACUAGGCGUAAAGCGUGGGCAGGCGGCUCGGUCAGUCUGUUGUGAAAGCUCCCGGCUUAACCGGGAGAGGCCAAUGGAUACUGCCGGGCUUGAAUCGGGGAGGGGUCACUGGAAUUCCUGGUGUAGCGGUGAAAUGCGUAGAUAUCAGGAGGAACACCAAUGGCGAAAGCAGGUGACUGGACCCGUAUUGACGCUCAUCCACGAAAGCUGGGGGAUCAAACAGG